CAGAGGGUGCAAGCGUUAAUCGGAAUUACUGGGCGUAAAGCGUGCGUAGUCGGUUAUCUAAGUCAGGUGUGAAAUCCCCGGGCUCAACCUGGGAAUUGCAUUUGAUACUGGAUAGCUAGAGUUCGGCAGAGGGAAGUGGAAUUUCUGGUGUAGCGGUGAAAUGCGUAGAUAUCAGAAGGAACAUCAGUGGCGAAAGCGACUUCCUGGACCAGAACUGACGAUCAGGCACGAAAGCGUGGGGAGCAAACAGGA
rnacentral:rRNA from 1 species